GCACGGGUGCGUAACGCGUAUGCAACCUACCCAUAACCGGAACAUAACGUUGAGAAAUCGGCGCUAAUAUUCCAUGUGUAUAUUUUGUGGCAUCAUAGAAUAUAUAAAGAUUAAUUGGUUAUGGAUGGGCAUGCGUAUCAUUAGCUAGUUGGUGGGGUAACGGCCUACCAAGGCUGCGAUGAUUAGGGGUUCUGAGAGGAUAACCCCCCACACUGGAACUGAGACACGGUCCAGACUCCUACGGGAGGCAGCAGUAGGGAAUAUUGGGCAAUGGAGGCAACUCUGACCCAGCCAUGCCGCGUGAAGGAAGACGGUCCUAUGGAUUGUAAACUUCUUUUAUCAUAGGGUAACCGCAGGGACGUGUCCCUGCCUGCAAGUAUAUGAUGAAUAAGCAUCGGCUAACUCCGUGCCAGCAGCCGCGGUAAUACGGAGGAUGCAAGCGUUAUCCGGAUUUAUUGGGUUUAAAG
rnacentral:rRNA from 1 species